rnacentral:pre_miRNA from 1 species
CUUAAUUACAACCACCGUCCCGAAAUAAGUUUUUGACUCUUCGUCUUAUUUAAAUUUUUUUUACGAUUACGUUUAUUGUUACUAGAUGAUAAAAUAUAAAUAGUACUUUAUUCGUGACUAAUUUUUUUAAAUUUUUGUACAAAUUUUUUAAAUAAGACGAACGAUCAAACUUUGGAUACAGAAAUCGAAAAAUAAGAUUAUU